rnacentral:rRNA from 1 species
AUGAUUUGGCAGCGUUUUCGGCCGUCGCGCUCUAGUGCAUUCCUUUAUUUAUAUUUGAAAAUGUUAGUUCCACUAUACUCCCUGAUAUGUGCAGAGGUGCAUGUUUGGUAUCUUUGCCCGGGUGAGCUGAAUGAUCAGUCCCAACUAGAGAUGUAUAAACAACUCCUUUCUCCUGCUGAAAAGGAGUAUGCUGACUCUAUAAAGGAAACAACGUUGCGGAAGCAUGCUAUGUUGUCCUGUGCAUUGAAGCGCACCACCCUCUCAAGAUAUUGUAAAAUUGAUCCGAGGUCGUUUGAGUUUAUGUACAACAAUUUUCACAAACCUGAGAUAUUGUGGCCAUCCGAUGAUAUUGUGGAGCUGCCCUUGCAUUUCAACAUUUCACACACUACUUCUUUGAUUGCCUGUGGCAUUGCCAUGGAUGCUAAUAUUGGCAUUGAUAUUGAAGAGAAGAAGCGGAAGACAACCAAGAGUAUUUUAUCUCUUGCUCGUUGUUUUUUCACCCCUUCAGAAGCUCAUUAUCUCACUGAGAUUUCUGAUUCGUAUGCUCAGGAAAAGGAAUUCUUCAAACUAUGGACUCUUAAAGAAGCAUAUGUAAAGGCUCUCGGAUUGGGUUUGUCAGGUGCUCCACUCAAUGAGUUUACAAUCAACUUGAAAACAAGCAAGGGAAUUCGGGUUUCUAAGGCAUCGAAAGUAUGUAAUGAUUCCAACUCUGGGUGUGAUCGUCUGUCUGAGAAUUGGCUAUUUGCACUCGCGAAGCUAAAUAGUUCUCAUUACAUGUCAGUUUGUAUGGAGGAUGACACGAGAUGUCAAGGUCCUGAAAAUAGUCCAGCGCCAGUAGGAUUAAAAGUAUGGAAGACCAUACCAUUUGUAGAAGAUACACUUGUCUCUGGAACGGAAGCUGUUAAACUUAUUGCUUGA